UUUAGGUGGGAAAAUUCUAGGUUGGUGGCUGUGAGGGAGGCUGCGCCAAUAUUUAAGGUGCAGACUUUGGACGUCUAUAGACACCGCCAACUCAGGGAGAUACGACGUGCCAAUUGGUCAGAACCCAAUGGCUCGUUUCUCAAUGCUAUUUGCAUACCUGUUUUUGGUCAACAUAGAUAUAGGUGUGGGACUUGACUACGACAAGUUUGGUUCUCAUGUGGGUAAUCUGUUAUCUUGUUAGCAAUUAUGUCUAACAAAAAGACUGGAGUUGUUUCUGUUCCGCUGGUUUCAAGAGUCAUAGAACAUAAAUUAAAUGGAAUUAUUUUUCUUGAUUGGAACCGUACCAUUGAAUUAUAUCUGCUCAGUAUUUCUAUGGAUGGUCAUGUGACUAAAGAUCCUCCUACAGAUCACCUCUAGAUUACCUUGGGUGAGGAUGCUUGCUUGUAUACAAAUUCGUAACUCUAUUGAUAGUGAGGUGGUUGGUUUGGUUACUCAUUGUAAGACAGUAAAACUAUUUUCUGUUCUACAAAAGGAAAUUUCUCUGGUAUCUAUGAUGUUUGCAAGGAUUUUUACAGGGCAAAUAAAGGAGAUAAGUCUAGUUAUUUUAUGGAAUUCAAGAAAACAUAUGAAGAGCUCAUUAUGUUGCUUCCCUUCAGUACUGAUGGUUGUUAUGAAUUGUUAUGAGUUUUCUAGCCGAUCUUCCGUCUGAAUUUGAGACUGCCAAAUCCCAAAUUCUUUCCACUUAAGAAAUUUUCUAUCUAGAAGAUGUUUUUCGGAGGGUUCUCCAUAUAGAGAAUACGUUGCCAACUCAGCCUAACAGUGUUCUUAUUAGCCGUACUACCACAUCUAUCUCAGGAAGACAACACUAAAAGAGUGGUGGCAACAGUACGAGCAUGGAGUCGGGUCCUACAACUCUGAUAACAAUACUGGAAACCGUGGACAAGAAGCAAGAAGAAAUUGUAUGUCGCUAAUUUCACAAACCAGGUCAUAUCAAGCGGGAUUGUCGGAAGCUGCAAUAUAAGAAAACUGAGUCUGCCCAUGUUGCAUCUAGUUAUGAGACCUCUGAAAAGUCUGUUACAAUAAGUGCAAAAUGAGUACGCCAGAUUGAUUCAGCUUCAACAAACAGUGAAACAACCAUCUGUUCAUGUUACUGCUCUUGUCGGGACAAGUAAAACCAAUAGAUGUCUUGUUUCUUCUUCUUCAAAAUGGGUCAUUGAUUCUGGUGCUACAGAUCACAUGACAUGAUCUCGUGACAAAGAAGAUUAUUGGCAAGGGACACGAGUCUGAUGGUCUCUAUAUUCUUAAUACACACAAACCAGGGUGUAUAGCCUGUGCCAAAAUAGUUUCUCCUUUUGACGCACAUUGUCGAUUGGGUCAUCCUUCAUUUUCUAUGUUAAAGAAACUUUGUGCCCAAUUUUUAAGCAUUAAUUCAUUAGAUUGUUAGUCCUGUCAGUUUGCUAAACACCAUCGUCUUUGUUCUAGUCUUAGAGUCAAUAAGCGAGCUACUGCUCCCUUUGAGUUAGUUUAUUAUGAUGUUUGGGGUCUUUGUCCAAUUACCUCUAAAAUUGGUUUUAAAUAUUUUGUUACUUAUAUUGAUGAUUAUUCUAGAAAUGACAUGGCUUUAUUUGAUGAAAAUCACUCAAAAUUAUUUUCUCAUUUUUUUCUUCCUUUUGUGCUGAAAUUGAAACUCAAUUUGGUAAACCUGUACAAAUUUUAAGAAGUGAUAAUGCAAAAGAAUAUGUUUCAGGAAAUUUUCAAAAAUACAUGCUUGAGCACCGUAUUCUCUAUCAGACUUCUUAUAUUGACAUCCAUUUCUCAGAAUGGUGCUGCUAAAAGAAAGAAUAGACAUCUUCUUGAAACUUCUAGAGCUUUAUUAUUUCAAAUGCAGGUUCCUAAAUGCUUCUGGGCUGAUGUUGUGUCUACUGCUUGUUUUCUAAUCAAUCGUAUGCCUUCCUCAAUUUUAUCUAGUAAUAAUCCUUGUGGCACUCUAUUUCCAAAUAAACAAUUGUUUCCUGUAUAACCAAAGAUAUUCGGUUGUACUUGUUUCCUUCGGGAUGUUCAUCCUCAAGUUACAAAACUUGAUCCUAAGUCCUUGAAGUGUAUGUUUCUAGGUAAACGUGCAUGCACUUAUCCAAACUCUCAGUUUGUUUCCUACAAUCAUUUGUCUCCCACUUGUAAUUUUCUUACAUCCCUAGACACUGUCUACAUCUAAAACUGUUCGAGAGGCAUUAGCUCAUCCCUGAUGGCGGAAUGCUAUGAUCGAGAAAAUGAAUGCUCUAGAUGUUUAAUGGUACAUGGACUUUGGUUACCUUAUAUGUAGGUAAACAAGCAAUUGGAUGAAAUGGGUAUUUACCAUCAAAAUUAAUCCUGAUGGCUCCAUUUCUCAAUUGAAAGCUCGACUUAUUCUCAGACUGUUGGAAUGGACUAUCAUGAUACUUUCCCCUAUUGCUAAACUUGCUUCUCUCACGAUAUCUAUCUCCCUUGUAGCAAGUUAUGACUGGCCUUUGAAUCAGUUAGACAUAAAGAAUGCCUUUCUUCACGCGGAUCUUCAGGAGGAAGUAUAUAUAGAGCAACCACAUGGUUUUGUUGCUCAGGGGGAGUAUGGGAAAGU